CUUGAAAUGCAUGGAUCUGAUAACACCAAAUCUAUGUUAUUAAUAGAUUUUUCGAAUGCAUUCAACAUGGUUGAUCGAUCCACUAUUAUCCGUGAGGUGACACUAUGGAAGUGUCUAAGGCAUUGAAGAUUCUCCAAGAGGACGGACCAGUCUACGGGUUACAUCUGAAUAUUUCGAAGACUGAAUUAUUUUGGCCCUCUUAUGACCCGAGAAGGGAUUCCGAUACUGCCUUUCCUGCGAAUAUUGGGUUGACAAAACCUCUCAGCUCAUUGACAAGAUUCAAGAGCUGCAGGAUCCUCAGUGUGAACUUUUGCUUUUGCGCAACUGUACUGGAGUUUCGAGGUUAUAUUUUUCCCUACG